ACGAAGAGUAAGAAAGAAAGAAAGCAUUUUGAUAGAGAAAACUCUCAUCUUCCCUUUUACUUUUUCUUAAUAAAACUUGAACAAUCACACAGACUUGUUUUCUCUCUCUAGAAACCCACCUUUUUUCUCUACCUAAAAGUUCUCUCUCUCUAUUUCUCUAUCUUUCUCUUUCUUACCUCCAAAAUCUGGACUUUGAGGCUGAGGUUGUUCUAGAUUUGUGAUGGAAAAUGGGGUUGAGGUUGUUGAUGGAUUGCACGAUGGAGAGAAGAAGUUUGUGGGAGAUGGUGUUUCACGAGAUUGGGUAGAUGAAACAGUUGUAGUUGGUUCUCAUGAAUCUAAGGAUACGGAAGGGGAAGAUGUUUUUGAGGAGGCAUUAGAUGGGAAAGAUCAUUUAAUAGAGCAGAGCCCGAAAUAUAUUUCAGUGAAUGGCGAUAUUGCAGAAGAAGAAGAAGGCAAUGAUUUUACGUCUGGAGUGACUUCUAACCAUCCUAACAAUGCUCACGAUGAAGAGAAGUUUGAAGAAGCAAUAGAGGCUUAUAGUAGGGUGAAUGAAAACCCGGUGGUGGAGGAGCAAGAUGUGAAUUCUGAUAAGGAGACAGAAGGCUUGGAUGGGAAAUUGGUCGAAAAUGCAGUUGUGGCUUCUACAAUUGAUGAGAGAGGAACUGAAGAGGAAGCAGCGACUUCCGAGUUGAACGAGAGCAAGGAUGACGAGUUGGAUUUCAGUAGAGAUGAUUCAAGAAAUGAGACAUUAGAGAACGGUGCUAGCCCAGAGGUUGUAGUGCUGAAGGAUGGGGAUGAGGAUGAUUUGAAAUUUGGUCCAAUGAGUACGAAGUCUGAAAAUAAUGAUAGUAACAAUUUGAAUGUGACUUUGCCUUCAGAUGAUGAAUUAGUGAAUAAGAGUGCUGAUUUGGUAGGGGGGACUAACCUGGAUUCUACCAGUGAUUUUCUUACUGAAAAUCGAGAUCAUGUGGAACUGAAUGGGAAGAGCUUAGGUACGGAGUCCUCAGACCACGUUAAGAAGACUGAGGAGCCAUUAAAUGCACCCGUUCUAGAUUUGGAAAAUUUGGAUAUUACAAAUGCAGAGCAAAGGGAUGAUUCUCUUCACGUGGAUCUAGAACUGCCAAACAAUGAGAGUGAAGACAUGAAAGAGACUACAACUAGUAUUGAACCUAAGAAGGAUGAUAAUAAAAAUGAAGAAAGCUCUCCAGCCUGCAUGACUACCACAAGUCAGGAUGACAGGACUGAGGAAGUGACUACCACAAAUCAGGAUCACAGGAAUGAGGAAGUGACUACUGCAGACGAGAAUCACCGGAUCAAGGAAGUGACUACUGCAGAUGAGAAUCACCGGAUCGAGGAAGUGACUACUGCAGAUGAGAAUCACCAGAUCGAGGAAGUAAAAAAUGUUUCUACUGGGAAAGAUUCAGAAAAGCAGUCCAGAGUAUCUCGUGAAUUGAAUGGUACUACUUCUGCUGACCAGCAUGAAUCUAUGGGUGAAAAUGAAAUUCCCCUGGAGACAGUUGAGGAUAUCUCAGCUUCUGAAAAGAUAGCAGAUGAGAAAAUUGAGAAGAUCCAGGGCAGUGAAAGUGAUGUGACAGUGAAGGAAGACAAUACAACUAGACAUCAGCAUCCUGUUGAUAGUUCCAAUAAUGGCCCCGACAUUUUAGGGGUUGAAAAGACAGAGAGCAAAGAUAAGGUUGGACAGGACAAAACUCAAGUGAACAGGGAUCCAGAGAUUCGACCUGCAUCAAUCAUUGCUUCAUCAUCUGGUAAAUCUACAAAUCCCACUCCUCCUGCCCGUCCAGCUGGUCUUGGGCGUGCUGCUCCAUUAUUGGAACCUGCCCCUCGGGUGGUGCAGCCGCCUCGAGUUAAUGGUACUGUAUCCCAUGUUCAAAUGCAACAAAUUGAUGAUCCUGUUAAUGGGGAUGCUGAGGAAAAUGAUGAUACUCGUGAGCAACUCCAGAUGAUAAGAGUGAAAUUUUUGCGUCUUGCACAUAGGCUUGGGCAAACUCCACACAAUGUUGUUGUGGCACAAGUUCUAUACCGUCUUGGAUUAGCUGAGCAACUUCGAGGAAGAAAUGGAGGUCGGGUUGGUGCCUUCAGCUUUGACCGUGCCAGUGCCAUGGCAGAGCAGCUGGAGGCAGCUGGGCAAGAGCCACUUGAUUUCUCUUGUACAAUCAUGGUUCUUGGAAAGACAGGUGUUGGUAAAAGUGCUACCAUCAACUCCAUAUUUGAUGAAGUUAAAUUCAGUACUGAUGCUUUUCAAAUGGGCACAAAAAAGGUUCAAGAUGUUGUUGGAACUGUGCAGGGGAUCAAAGUACGGGUAAUUGACACUCCUGGCCUUCUUUCCUCUUGGUCCGACCAGCGCCAAAAUGAGAAGAUCCUUCUCUCUGUUAAGCGUUUUAUAAAAAAGACACCUCCAGAUAUUGUUCUGUAUCUUGAUAGGUUGGACAUGCAAACCCGGGAUUUCAGUGAUAUGCCACUCUUGCGUACAAUUACUGAAAUAUUUGGACCAUCAAUAUGGUUCAAUGCGAUUGUGGUUCUUACUCAUGCAGCAUCUGCUCCACCUGAUGGUCCAAAUGGUACUGCUUCUAGUUAUGAUAUGUUUGUCACUCAGCGGUCUCAUGUUGUUCAGCAAGCUAUACGCCAGGCUGCAGGGGAUAUGCGCCUUAUGAAUCCUGUCUCAUUAGUGGAGAAUCACUCUGCAUGCAGAACGAACCGAGCUGGGCAAAGGGUAUUGCCGAAUGGACAGGUUUGGAAACCUCAUUUAUUAUUGCUCUCAUUUGCCUCAAAGAUUUUGGCCGAAGCUAACACUCUUCUGAAGUUGCAAGAUAGUCCUCCUGGGAGGCCAUUUACUCCUAGGUCGAAGUCACCACCUUUACCAUUCCUUCUCUCUUCCCUUCUUCAGUCAAGACCUCAAGUUAAACUGCCGGAGGAACAGUUUGGUGAUGAUGAUGGUCUUGAGGAUGACCUUGAUGAAUCGUCAGAUUCUGAAAAUGAAUCUGAAUAUGAUGAAUUGCCACCUUUUAAACGGCUGACAAAAGCACAGGUGGCAAAGCUCUCCAAAGCACAGAAGAAGGCCUACUUUGACGAAUUGGAAUACAGGGAAAAACUUUUUAUGAAGAAGCAACUGAAAGAAGAGAAAAGGAGAAGGAAGAUGCUGAAGAAAAUGGCAGCUGAGGCAAGAGAUCAACCCAGGGAUGGGAGUGAGAAUGUAGAAGAAGAUGCUGGUGGUGCUGCUUCAGUACCGGUUCCCAUGCCUGAUUUGGCAUUACCUGCUUCCUUUGAUUCUGAUAACCCCACUCACCGGUAUCGUUAUCUCGAUUCCUCUAACCAGUGGCUAAUAAGGCCUGUACUCGAAACACAUGGAUGGGAUCAUGAUGUUGGUUAUGAAGGUAUAAAUGCAGAGAAGUUGUUUGUUGUCAAAGACACAAUACCUAUCUCUUUUAGUGGCCAAGUUACAAAGGAUAAGAAGGAUGCAAAUGUUCAAAUAGAGAUGACCAGUUCGAUUAAGCAUGGGGAAACUAAAGCAUCUUCCAUUGGUUUCGAUAUGCAGACCGUUGGAAAGGAUUUGGCCUAUACAUUACGUGGCGAGACAACAUUUAUUAAUUUUAGGAAGAACAAGGCAAUUGCUGGUCUGUCAGUUGCCCUAUUGGGCGAUGCCUUGUCUGCUGGAUUCAAAGUUGAAGACAAGUUGAUUGCUAAUAAGCGAUUUCGAUUGGUUGUGACUGGGGGAGCAAUGACCGGUAGGGGAGAUGUAGCUUAUGGUGGCAGCCUGGAGGCUCAAUUGAGAGAUAAAGACUAUCCUUUGGGUCGUUCACUUUCAACUCUUGGGCUCUCAGUCAUGGAUUGGCAUGGAGAUCUUGCUAUUGGUUGCAAUGUACAAUCUCAAGUUCCCAUUGGACGAUCGACGAAUCUGAUUGCUCGUGUGAAUCUGAAUAACAGGGGGGCAGGGCAAGUCAGCUUUCGGUUAAACAGCUCAGAACAGCUUCAGAUAGCUAUUGUCGGGCUCCUUCCUCUAUUGAGAAAGCUUCUGGGUUGUUAUCAAUACUGGCAGGAUGGACAAUGAUGGAAUUUAGGUUACAGAUGCAGCUGAAUUUUUGCAAUAUAGUAAUAACGUUGGGUUGGUAAUUGGCAGUCUCAUACCGGUUAGCUUCAAAUAUCAGUAUGCAAAGAUGAAACAUACACCGAAUCUCCCAAACCAGUAAAACCCAUGCGAAGACUUUCCUUAUUCUUCACAUUUAGAGUUUCAAUUACUGUUAAUACAUCUUGUUGGAUGUCACGAAUGCUGAAUUAGUUCACAAACUUUGUGUAUACAAUGUCCAUUGAUUGAUGAUUCAACUGAUAAAUCUAGAGAUUGUUUGAGUCACUGUCCUCAUGUUUCAGGAUCUAGCCAGUGCAUAUGAUUGCCCUUCAAGACAUCUAUAUGAGACAGGUGAAUGGUUGCUGUCAAUCUGGUCGGUUGUUUAUAGUACUGUGGGGAUGGAAGCUUUGAGUCACUUUCAAUGGCCAGCUGAGCUACAAGCUGAAGAAGAUGGCAGAGUCUGAUGUGCCUUUGUCGUAGCUGCUUUGUUUUGAUUUAGCUUCGAACAACAGCUAUCUUCUUCUAUUCUCUUUUCAGAUUCAUUAUUAUAAGCUUCCAUUUAGAAUUUGGCUGCCCACUACAUGCCAAUAUGCUUGUACUGUUCAGCAGGCCAGACCACUUCUAGCAUCAUGUUGUUGUCUGAUCCUAAGGACUUUCGUUCUUCUUUUUUAAUCAAAUUAUUUGUAGUAUUUUUUUCUAGCUUUGUUGUGUUUGAAAUUUUGUGAUAAUAAAAGUUCAAUUUGAGUCAAA